UAGCCUAGUCCAAAUCUACAAGUGGGUGACCGGCAUAAAUACGUUCAUGUAGCUUAAUAUACUAAAGCAAAGCACUGAAAAUGCUUAGAUGGAUUACUAAUCCCAUAAACAUAAA
ensembl:miRNA